CUGUUAUUUGUGAUGUAGGUCUUACAGACGCCAUCAUGUGCUAUAUAGUCUAUCCUUAAGAGGAUUGUUCUGCUUCUGUUAUUUGUGAUGAAGGUCUUCAGAGAUGCCGUCAUGUGUUAUAUAGUCCUUAAGAGGUAUAUCCUUAAGAGGUUAGCUUGAGACCUUGUUUGUCAAAAGCAUGUUUUAUGACCUUAAAGAGUUGUGAUCUCAAGGUUACCUUGAAAGGGUUGCUUGCACUAAUACUUUCCAGAGGUUGCUGGUGGAAUUACGGUUUCCAAUAGAGUGCAUGCUACAGGCUGCGCGACAACCUUGUCAUGAAGGGCCAACGUCUGCGGUCGUUGCGCCGCCAGCCUCGAAAGCAGCCGUAUCACCGUGGCUUGCGUAUGAAGCUUUGAUAUGAGCUUUUUAAUAAGAGCUUUCUUGCUGCUUGCUGUGUUAGAAGGCGGCUAUGCUCACGCAUGGAGUGUGUCAUGUUCACCUCUCACGAGUUUGAUGUACGCGUUGUUGUGCGUGCGGGGAGCUUCACAGCCUACAGUGACGGAGCCAACUGUGAGUUUGUUCCAUGUAUUUGCUAUUUAAACGACGCCAAUCAUCAUUAUUAUAUUGAGCGGUUGGUUAGUUUGGAAUGCACCGCUCAC